rnacentral:rRNA from 1 species
AAGUUGGGCACUCUAAGGUGACUGCCGGUGACAAACCGGAGGAAGGUGGGGAUGACGUCAAAUCAUCAUGCCCCUUAUGACCUGGGCUACACACGUGCUACAAUGGACGGUACAAAGAGCUGCAAGACCGCGAGGUGGAGCUAAUCUCAUAAAACCGUUCUCAGUUCGGAUUGUAGGCUGCAACUCGCCUACAUGAAGCUGGAAUCGCUAGUAAUCGCGGAUCAGCAUGCCGCGGUGAAUACGUUCCCGGGCCUUGUACACACCGCCCGU